rnacentral:rRNA from 1 species
UGGGGAAUAUUGCACAAUGGGCGCAAGCCUGAUGCAGCAACGCCGCGUGAGGGAUGACGGCCUUCGGGUUGUAAACCUCUUUUAGCAGGGAAGAAGCGAAAGUGACGGUACCUGCAGAAAAAGCGCCGGCUAACUACGUGCCAGCAGCCGCGGUAAUACGUAGGGCGCAAGCGUUAUCCGGAAUUAUUGGGCGUAAAGAGCUCGUAGGCGGUUUGUCGCGUCUGCUGUGAAAUCCCGAGGCUCAACCUCGGGUCUGCAGUGGGUACGGGCAGACUAGAGUGCGGUAGGGGAGAUUGGAAUUCCUGGUGUAGCGGUGGAAUGCGCAGAUAUCAGGAGGAACACCGAUGGCGAAGGCAGAUCUCUGGGCCGUAACUGACGCUGAGGAGCGAAAGGGUGGGGAGCAAAACAGGCUUAGAUACCCUGGUAGUCCACCCCGUAAACGUUGGGAACUAGUUGUGGGGUCCAUUCCACGGAUUCCGUGACGCAGCUAGCGCAUUAAGUUCCCCGCCUGGGGAGUACGGCCGCAAGGCUAAAACU